rnacentral:rRNA from 1 species
GAUGAACGCUGGCGGCGUGCCUAAUACAUGCAAGUCGAGCGAACAGACGAGGAGCUUGCUCCUCUGACGUUAGCGGCGGACGGGUGAGUAACACGUGGAUAACCUACCUAUAAGACUGGGAUAACUUCGGGAAACCGGAGCUAAUACCGGAUAAUAUAUUGAACCGCAUGGUUCAAUAGUGAAAGACGGUUUUGCUGUCACUUAUAGAUGGAUUCGCGCCGCAUUAGCUAGUUGGUAAGGUAACGGCUUACCAAGGCAACGAUGCGUAGCCGACCUGAGAGGGUGAUCGGCCACACUGGAACUGAGACACGGUCCAGACGCCUACGGGAGGCAGCAGUAGGGAAUCUUCCGCAAUGGGCGAAAGCUUGACGGAGCAACGCCGCGUGAGUGAUGAAGGUCUUCGGAUCGUAAAACUCUGUUAUUAGGGAAGAACAAAUGUGUAAGUAACUAUGCACGUCUUGACGGUACCUAAUCAGAAAGCCACGGCUAACUACGUG